AUUGAACGCUGGCGGCAGGCUUAACACAUGCAAGUCGAGCGGGGUGAUGGUGCUUGCACUAUCACUUAGCGGCGGACGGGUGAGUAAUGCUUAGGAAUCUGCCUAUUAGUGGGGGACAACAUCUCGAAAGGGAUGCUAAUACCGCAUACGUCCUACGGGAGAAAGCAGGGGAUCACUGGUGACCUUGCGCUAAUAGAUGAGCUGAAGUCGGAUUAGCUAGUUGGUGGGGUAAAGGCCUACCAAGGCGACGAUCUGUAGCGGGUCUGAGAGGAUGAUCCGCACACUGGGACUGAGACACGGCCCAGACUCCUACGGGAGGCAGCAGUGGGGAAUAUUGGACAAUGGGGGGAACCCUGAUCCAGCCAUGCCGCGUGUGUGAAGAAGGCCUUAUGGUUGAAAGCACUUUAAGCGUGGAGGAGGCUCUUUUGGUUAAUACCCAAGAUGAGUGGACGUUACUCGCAGAAUAAGCACCGGCUAACUCUGUGCCAGCCGCCGCGGUAA
rnacentral:rRNA from 1 species